GAUGAACGCUGGCGGCGUGCCUAAUACAUGCAAGUCGAGCGAACAGACGAGGAGCUUGCUCCUCUGACGUUAGCGGCGGACGGGUGAGUCACACGUGGAUAACCUACCUCUAAGACUGGGAUAACUUCGGGAAACCGGAGCUACUACCGGAUAAUAUAUUGAACCUCGUUGUUCAAUAGUUAAAGACGGUUUUUCUUUCACUUAUAGACUACUACGCGCCGCAUUCGCUAGUUGGUAAGGUAACGGCUUACCAAGGCAACGAUGCGUAGCCGCCCUGAGAGGGUGAUUGGACAGCCUGGAACUGAGACACGGCCCAGACUCCGACGGGAGGCAGCAGUAGGGAAUCUUCCGCAAUGGGCGAAAGCCUGACGGAGCAACGCCGCGUGAGUGAUGAAGGUCUUCGGAUCGUAAAACGCUGUUAUUAGGGAAGAACAAAUGUGUAAGUAACUAUGCACGUCUUGACGGUACCGAAUCAGAAAGCCACGGCUAACUACGUG
rnacentral:rRNA from 1 species